rnacentral:sRNA from 1 species
GCAGGGCGUGGAGGCGCAUGCCUGUAAUCCCAGCGGCUCAGGAGGCUGAGACUGGAGGACCUGGAUUCAAAGCCAGCCUCAGCAAUGACGAGGCACUAAGCAACUCAGUGAGACCCUGUCUCUA